CUCAAAUUUUUCUUGACAGAAAAAUACCUGUAAUUGGGAAUGAUGGUGGUGAUGAAAGGUCUUGAAGCAGAGGAGAAGGAAGCGAAAUAGAAAUUUUUGUUUAACGAUGUAAAGUUUACAACUAUAUAGGAAGAGCCAGAGGAGAAUGAAGAUGCACGUUGCGAUCAAUGAGAGGGGCUUCCAGAAGUUGACAACAACGAAGCAAAGAGGUGGAAAAUGGGAACAAAGAAAGCCUCUUUCAGUUCAUACCUACUAAUUAACCAGAUUUCAUACUUUAUUGGUCACGCUCACGUGUGAGCCUAGUAGCUUCUAAAUUUUUAUUUCUUGUAUAAGAUAAAAAUCUAUUACUAUUAUUGAUAUUUUUGGGGCAUUCAGUCUUUACAAACUUGAACUGCCAACAUUUUUCAUUCUUAUAAACGUGGGAAUUAAUAUUAUUAGGAUUUGUUUUUCCAUUAUAGGGCUUUUUUUUAGAGACAACGUUUUCUUUGAUCCAGUUGCAUUUUAUAGUUGAGAAGUUUUAUUUAGUGACUAGUAUUAUCUCUCGUGCUAUGCACGGAUAUUAUUAUUUUUUUAAAUAAAUAUAUUUUUAAAAUAUUGUUUA